rnacentral:rRNA from 1 species
UACGUAGGUGGCAAGCGUUGUCCGGAAUUACUGGGUGUAAAGGGAGCGUAGGCGGGUUCGCAAGUUGAAUGUUAAAUCUAUCGGCUCAACCGAUAGCCGCGUUCAAAACUGCGAGUCUUGAGUGAAGUAGAGGCAGGCGGAAUUCCUAGUGUAGCGGUGAAAUGCGUAGAUAUUAGGAGGAACACCAGUGGCGAAGGCGGCCUGCUGGGCUUUUACUGACGCUGAGGCUCGAAAGCAUGGGGAGCAAACAGG